AGCAAAUUUGACGUUGAAGAAAAAAAAUGGCAUUAAUUUAUUGUAGAUUAUGCAUAUACAUAUCUGCAAAUUUCUGCAGCAAACUUUUACUUUUACUUCAUUUUGGUCAUUUUAGAGAAAAUUCGAUCUGGUGCGUACAUGCAAACACAACCACUGGAGGCAGAUGGAUAUUUGCUAGCUUCGGCGAGCGAUAGUACAACAAUAGCGACUCCAGGCCGAGGAAUCAUAGAAACAGAAGUUGGAACAACAAAGCGGAGAUAAAGUAUAUACAUAUAUGGGUGCGGGGAAUCCUACCAGCAGUUUCUCAACACAUCGCAUCUCAUCCUCCAAUCGCUCAUCAAUCGUACAAUACAAAUUCGAACUAGAUUCGCCGUAUGAUGGAAGAAGCACUCGUAGUCCUUUGUGUCAGAAACCGAAACCGUGCAUGUAAGAAUUAUUAAGCUGAACAUACAAUUUAUCAUUUUCAAUAUUAUGAUUGUUAAUAUAUAAAUUCUGAACGUUCGCAAUAGCACAAAAUUUAUCUAUUUAAAUGUAUAUUAUUGUCAAAUUAGCAUUUAUAUACAAAUGAAUUUACUAAUAUUUACUAUAUAAAUAUAAUA